rnacentral:lncRNA from 1 species
UCUACGUCCCUCAACAGGGUCUCUCGAAUCCAGGCUCAUUUCUUCAGCUGACCGUUGUCGUCUCGUCUGGAGAACCACACUCAUCCUAAAUGGCCUCAUGGCUCCAGUCUUUCUUCUACAGGAGCCAGUCUGCCUUCCAUACCACUAACAAAGUAAUGGAAAGAACAUCAGCUCCUGUCACCCUUCCCCUUCACUGAAAGCUUCUCAUUGGCUUUCUGCUGCCUGGAGUGUAAAUUCUGAAUGCCUUAGCUCAUCAUAGGAGGCCUUGUAGAGUCUGCUUCAUGCCUGCUGCCCUAGUCUUAUUGCUUAUCAGCCUGCCCCCCGGCCCCCAUACAGCCUAAGCUCCAGCCACAGUGAUGUCCUCACCAUUGCCUCAUGCUCUGGUCUUCCGGGAUUCCAGCCUCAACAUGCACGUCUUCAUCACAUUUGUCCAGCUGAAGUACAGCAGUGCUGUUUGGGUGAUUGUUGCUCUGUGAUGCCAAGCUGUUUUAGAAAAAUGUCAUGAUGCCUGGUCACACCUACUACCGCAGAGACAAGCCCAGAAGUUAAAUUAGGAAGCAAACGUAAGCUUUGAAGAACUUUUUAUUUAAUCUGUAUUCCCCUGUUUCAUCUGCACAUCCAUCCAGCACAAUCUGCAUCAUUAUUAGCCACAUCAACUCGCUAAAAAAAGGGGGGGGGGUAAAAAGUAAGACAUCUGUGUUAUAGCAUUAAUAUAUUCAAAGGUUUUUACUUUCAUCUUGCAGGCAUUAACAGGGUGUAAAUGCAAUAUAAGCGCAAUUUACAACAGCACUAAGUUAGCAGAAGAAAAAACGUACUUGGGAGUCACGCAAAAGAAGGGAGCCUGCAAAAAGAAAAAAAAAAAAAAGCAAAGGUAUGUUUGUGUGGAAGGGACAAGCAGGUCAGGAAUUAUGUAAAAAGCAGAGUUUUAUCUGUAAAUAGAGUAUUUUGCCUAUUGCUCUUUCCUAGCUUUCUUUCUAAUUGCUAGCACAAUUUCUAAGGCACUGAGGCAACCCU